CCUGAACAUUGUGGAUCCUCCCGAGAGCACCACAUUCUUAUAUAAUGGACGCCGGACAUCAAUGGGACAGUUCUGUAUAACUUCAUCAACUACAUCCGAAAUUGAUUCCAUAAAAUCAGGAUUAGCAAACUCGGGAUGAAAGAAAAUUUCAGGUCCAAGGAACCUUUCAUAACCAACAUCUAUAACAAAUUUGGUUUUGUUGAUUGCAUUGAUGCCAGUAUACUGUUUGAUCCAUUUUCGGGGAUCUCCAUCAUACUUAGCAAAUUCUUUCACAAUGUC
rnacentral:lncRNA from 1 species